ACAUACCUCUUCCAAACACAAAACUCUCAAAACCCUAUCCCUUCUCCAUUCCUUAAAGUCGACCUCCCCUGCUCCUCCACCUCCAGCCACUGCCACGCCGCCCUCCACCCCUCCCGCCGAUCUGAAACCUUCCACAGCCGAGCACCACAGCCGAGCACCACCGCCGAACCACCGCCGAACUCCACUCAUCCUCCAACAUCUAAGACAAGUAUUAUCUUUGUGAUGUCGCGUAUGCACACAUACGGGGAUUUAUGGCUCCAUAUCGUAAUGUGAGGUAUUGGCUAGGAGAUUUUCGCCGAAGACGUGCAUUGACUAAUAAAGAGAAAUUUAACCAUGCUCAUGCAAGACUUCGGAACGUAAUUGAGCGUGCUUUUGGUGUCUUGAAAGUAAGAUUCCCUAUUUUGAAGAGGAUGGCACCAUUUCCAUUGGUUACACAAAGGAACAUUAUCAUUGCAUGUUUCGCGCUACAUAAUUUAUAAGGAAAGAGGGUUUGAGAGAUGAAUUGUUUACAGAAUACGAUCAACCCAAUGUUUCGGUGCAUAAUAGGCAAGUGCACGUUAAUGCUGGUGAACACGAGGUUGAAGCACAUGGUACUGCAUCGGAUCGAGAAUAUAUGAAUCAGUUACGAGAUGAGAUUGCUGAGCAGUUAAUGCAAAGCACGGAUAUAAUGAUUUAAAAAAAUGUUAUUGUCUUUUUUAUGAAUAUUAUUUAAGUAUUGUAUAACUGUUAUUUAAGUUUGAAUGUUGAAAAAUUCUUUUAAGUUUAAUAAAUCAGUUUAUUUAUAUUUCAGUUUA